GGUGCCACUUACAAUUCUACAAAGACAGAGCUGGAGGCUGCAUUCCCAAAUCAUCUGGUCCAGCCUCCGCCUAAUGCACUUAAUUCUUUUUGUCAGUGAGGAUCUCCAGACGCUUCAGCCAUCAGCGGAGAUGUCCUUGACUGUUGUAACAAUCAUUUCCUCUGUUACGAGAAGAGAUUGUAAGGGAAACUGCAGUUAGUGCAAGUUGACUCUCCAGAGGUGGGCUCAUUCAGACUAUGUGGAGGCGUUGACUCUCCGACAGGGGGCGUGGUUACCGGGCGCCAUAGCUGGCCGGAACUACGAAUCCCAGCGUACCCUGGGGCUAGAAGGCGGAGUCUAGUGAUCUAGGGGGCAGGGCCUUGGAGAAAGGGGGCAUUGUGCUGGGAGCGAGGUGCUGCCGCGGCUGCUGCUGCUGCUGCUGCAUUUGUCUGGUUUCCCAGUCGCUCGCGGAUCUUUUGUGGAAUCUUUGGCCCGGGGAGCUCGGAUGUGAAUGUGUCAACGGCGGCUGCAGCAACCACUUUGCCCUGGCCGAAAGGGUCCCCCCCCAAGGCCGCUGGGCUGUCUGGCUUUGUAGUGGGGAAGAUGCGGCCCAUGUGGCUGUGGAAACGCGGAUGGGGGGCCACCCGGGAGAAGCAAAGUUAUUCCGACUCGGCCUUUCCGCAGCUGUGGCCAAGCCCCCUGCCGCUCGUUCUCCUCAUCUCGGAGGAAGAGUGGUCUGCAUCUCGUUUGCCAAAUGGAAAACGAAAGGGACAAAUCUUAAGCACAGUCCCUCUGAAAGUUAGGAGUGGCUGACCCGAAAUAAGGAACAAAUGAUGAGGGAGAAGCUUUUCUUUGAAUGGACAUUUUUUGGUUUUAAGUUUUCGGAGUUCAAAAAAUGUGUAGUUUUGGGGGAAGCUGCUUCAGGUUACUCUGUGUCUUAACUCUGUAGGCAGCCUGUCCCCUCCCCCUCUCAUCAUUCCCUUUCAACUCCUUUUCUUUCUAACUCUUUUCCUCAGCUGUCUAGCAUCUUGGAAUCUUUCCUCUCUUUGGCAAAGGGCUUUCCUUCUCUUUUUGCUUAUUGGCAUCAGUUUCUCCUGCUAUAGCCUUAGAGAGAACCAGAUUUAUGGCAACACUUUCCUUCUUUCCAUUCAGAGAUCUAGAGAUGAACUGACCCCCAAGUACUUGAAGCAGUCAGGUGCUUCAAAGACAUCCAGGUCUUUUGGGGAGGGGGCUAAAGAGGGUAGAGGGUACAAGCAGGUUUUCCUUUCAACUCUAGGUGCUCUCUUUUUGCUUCUGCCAUCUUACUUAUUUGGAAAAUUUUAAACUACAGAGAAUCUAGCUUUUGAGAAAAACUUGGCCAAAGGCAGGUGAUAGAUUGAUUUGCUGUUUUACCUCAGACAACUGGGGGAAAAGAAGUAUCUGCUGUGGAGAAAGAUUUGAGAGAAACCACUGGAGAUAAAACCGCAUUUUCUGGGGUGUGGGAUUGCCAUGUUCUGGACUUGGUUGCCUGUGACCUUCUAGUCCCAUUCCACUGGCCAUUCGAAAGGGUACCAUUUGCUAUGGGGAUCAGCAUUCUGAACUGUAGCUUUCCUCUGCCUUGCAUGUACAGCCACACAGGAGAAUGCUGUUUAACACUACCUAGAAACUGUAAUGAGUCCGUGAGAAAGCAGACUACUUUGCCUCUGUCUUGCCUCCUACCUUCUGUGAUUUCCUGCAGCUGCUCACACAGUUGUAUAAGAUGGGAUACUUGGAAAUGAAACAGCAAAGGCUUAAUUACCUCUCUGGGAAGCCUAGACACAUUCUUGACCUGCCUUUUGGGAGAGAAGCAUGUUCUUUGUAGACAACUUUUUUCUUGAACAAAUAUGUGGUCCCUAUAUCACCUCUUGGUCUUAUCUAGUCUGCCCAUCCCCACUGUGGGUUCAUGUGGGUGUGUGUGGAUGUUUGUGGUUGAAGGAGCAGUGACAGGCAAAUCAGUGAAUGUAGCAGUCAUAAUAAUAACAACAAUUUAAUUAAGGUUGGCUCAACUGGACAGCUAUUUUUUUAUAUGAGCCUUCAGCAUUUCUGUUGAUUAAUAACAUAUGGCAUGGAUUAAUCUUAAGGAAACAAAUGACCAGGAAGUCCCAGGACUGAGGUUCUGUGUGACUUCCCAGAAUAAUCUUUCUACCUUGAUUAAAGACCAUUUAUAAAAAAAAAAAAGAAAGAAAAUGACCGUUGGUCAAGUAGUGGUUUUUUGCUAAUUUUAUCUCUAACAGUCAGAAAUUCUGCAUGUGAUCACUCAUUUUUUAUGUUCAAAGUGCCUCAGGGCAUAGUUAUUUGCUGUGACUACUUUUACUGUACAAUGUGUCAUGCACAGUCGCUGGAUACAUUUUCUUUCUUAGUUGUUUAUAACAUCUUUAGCCUCUAAAGUAAAAUACAGCCAAUCUGACCCUCUUGUUAGGAGGAAAACAAAACUUUCAGAAGUCUUGGUUUGUGGGGCCUCUUGUAGAGAUGUACUUGGACCACUGGAGUCAUGCUUAAUGGUCUAAGCAAAUCUGGCAGACUGCUUUCUGAGAAAAUAGCAUGAGAGGAGGCAGCACUUAGAGCUCUAAAGACACUGAGGGAGGUCCCAAGUACAAUAGUUUUCCUCCCAGUGAUUGUUUUUUUUUUGAAAAUUCUAUGUAUGACCCCAUAUACUCUGCAAAGGCAAAUGUUUGAGAACAGCUCAGUUAUACUAUUUUAAUCUUUGGCAUCAAAUUGGGAGGACAAAGGCUCAGAUGGAAUCUUUGUAGAGAGACUGCCAAGGGAUUGUAUUGGCAUAUCAGCAUAACUUUUUUAGCAUCCAUGUUAAAUGUUAAUAAAACUUAACAAAAACCUGUGAUGCA
ensembl:lncRNA